GACAAUCGUAUUAUUUUACUUGUUUAAAAUCUCUAGACUUUACUUGUUUUGGGACUAAAAUCUAUGGUGCCAUUUGACUGAUUUUCUUAUUUUUCUAAGGGUUUGACCAAAAGGAAAAAAAAAAAUUAAUUAAAAAAUUUAAUUAAAAAAUUCUAAAAUUGGUUAAAAUACAAACUCAUCCUCACUAAAUCAAAAAUUUAUAGAUCCAACCACCCUAUAUCCGAAAACCCAUUUCAGUAUCGG
rnacentral:lncRNA from 1 species